rnacentral:rRNA from 1 species
AUACGUAGGUGGCAAGCGUUGUCCGGAUUUACUGGGUGUAAAGGGCGCGUAGGCGGGCAGGCAAGUCAGAUGUGAAAUCUCCGGGCUCAACCCGGAAAUUGCAUUUGAAACUGCAGGUCUUGAGUAUCGGAGAGGCAAGCGGAAUUCCUAGUGUAGCGGUGAAAUGCGUAGAUAUUAGGAGGAACACCAGUGGCGAAGGCGGCUGGCUGGACGACAACUGACGCUGAGGCGCGAAAGCGUGGUGAGCAAACAGGAUUAGAUACCCUGGUAGUCCACGCCCUAAACGAUGAAUACUAGGUGUGGGGGGACUGACCCCUUCCGUGCCGGAGUAAACACAAUAAGUAUUCCACCUGGGGAGUACGACCGCAAGGUUGAAACUCAAAUGAAUUGACGGGG